GAAGGGCCAUGGCGGGCCAGACCGCGCACUGACGAUCCCUUCCUCCCCUUCCUUCCUUCUUCCCCUCCUUCCUCCUGAGGUAUGAUAAACCCUAGGCCUCUCCCCAGUUCCCCCUCUCUUUCCUUCUAUCCUCCGCCAUGAAUGUCCUCAAGAUGGCUUCCGAUUUCAUGACUCUGCAAUCUCUGCGGUGGAUGCCGUGCCACGAGUCCCUCGGAUCAUCCCCUUCCUUCACCCUGGAGGGAGGCACGGGGGAGAGGAAGCCAGAGGCCUCCAGAAGUUUCGAAUUCAAGCGCUUCAUGACGGUCCUUCUCCUCUGGUCCAUGAUCUUCGUCGAGGUCCGCCACAUUCCUUCUCUUUCCAUGUUCCCGACUCUGAGGAUAGGCGAUCGGAUCAUCGCCGAGAAGGUAUCUUAUUACUUCAAAAGUCCUGCGGUCAAUGAUAUUGUCUUAUUCAGACCACCAAAGCGCAUGCAGGAUUUGGGGUUCAAAAAGGGAGAUGUUUUUAUUAAAAGAAUUGUAGCCACGGCAGGGGAUCUAAUUGAGGUUCAACAGGGGAAGCUGCUAUUAAAUAGAAAUGUACAAUCGGAAAAUUUUAUUGCAGAACGCCCAUCAUAUGAGAUGCAUGCAACCGUCUGUUCCAGUAUCCUUACUGAAUUUCUUUGCCCUACCAAGUAUUUACAAGCAGCAAGUGUGCUUCGAGCAACAUAGUGAGUUGGCAUUUCCAGGAUGAAGAUUUUGAUACUAUGGAUACUGGAUGAUCAGCGACAGCUCAGAAUAGUAGCCUGGUAAACUCCAUGUUGUUGACAUCUGAGCGCUACAUGAUUUCCACUGAUUUCAUGAGCCUUGGACUGCACACGGUCUGCUUGUAUGUCCCGGAUGGCUUUGUCUUUGUGAUGGGUGACAAUCGAAACAACAGUUGUGACUCGCACGUUUGGGGUCCUCUUCCCGUAAAGAAUAUAAUAGGGAGAUACGUUAUCGGCUGUUCACGGUCACCUCCUGUGCAGG